GUUUGAUUCCUGGCCAAGGGCAUGUACCUGGGUUGCAGGCUUCUCACCCACCCAGACCCUGGUCAGGCCCCAUGCAGGAGGCAACCAAUCGAUGUGUUUCUCUCACAUCCAUGUUUCUCUCUGUCUUCCCCGCCACUUCCACUCUCUCUAAAAAAAUAAAAAUAAAUGGAAAAAUAUCCUCAGAUAAAGAUUAA